rfam:Picea glauca, whole genome shotgun sequence.
GCAUGCCCUCAACAUAGUGUUGAUGCACUGGAUCCCAUUAGAACUCUGUAGUUAAGUGCACUCGAGCUAGAGUAGUAUUGGGAUGGGUGACCACCCAGGAAGUCCUAGUGUUUUACAUGCC